rnacentral:rRNA from 1 species
GAUGAACGCUGGCGGCGUGCCUAAUACAUGCAAGUCGAGCGAACGGACGAGAAGCUUGCUUCUCUGAUGUUAGCGGCGGACGGGUGAGUAACACGUGGAUAACCUACCUAUAAGACUGGGAUAACUUCGGGAAACCGUAGCUAAUACCGGAUAAUAUUUUGAACCGCAUGGUUCAAAAGUGAAAGACGGUAUUGCUGUCACUUAUAGAUGGAUCCGCGCUGCAUUAGCUAGUUGGUAAGGUAACGGCUUACCAAGGCAACGAUGCAUAGCCGACCUGAGAGGGUGACCGCCCACACUGGAACGGAGACACGGUCCAGACUCCGAGGGGAGGGAGCAGUAGGGAAUCUUCCGGAAUGGGGGAAAGCCUGACGGAGCAACGCCGCGUGAGUGAUGAAGGUCUUCGGAUCGUAAAACUCUGUUAUUAGGGAAGAACAUAUGUGUAAGUAACUGUGCACAUCUUGACGGUACCUAAUCAGAAAGCCACGGCUAACUACGUG